rnacentral:lncRNA from 1 species
CCCGCUGGCGGCCAUCUUGGAUGAAGGAUCGGCUACAAAGUAACAACACUUGGUCAGCACCCCAUAAGGAACAUUCAUGCUAUGUUUGGUUUUAUUCCAUUCAGUGGUUCUCUAAAAGAAGUCAUUUGUAUGCAUUUCCCAUAGGGUCCUAUGUUAAACUAAGUUCCCGGCUGGCGGCCAUCUUGGAUGAUGGAUCGGCUACAAAGUAACAACACUUGGUCAGCACCUCAUAAGGAACAUUCAUGCCAUGUUUGGUUUCAUUCCAUUUAGUGGUUCUCUAGAGGAAGUCAUUUUGUAUGCAUUUCCCAUAGGUCCUAUGUUAAACUAAGUUCCCGGCUGGCGGCCAUCUUGGAUGAUGGAUCGGCAACAAAGUAACAACACUUGGUCAGCACCUCAUAAGGAACAUUCAUGCCAUGUUUGGUUUCAUUCCAUUUAGUUGGUUCUCUAGAGGAAGUCAUUUGUAUGCAUUUCCCAUAGGGUCCUAUGUUAAACUAAGUCCCCCACUGGCGGCCAUCUUGGAUGAUGGAUCGGCAACAAAGUAACAACACUUGGUCAGCACCUCAUAAGGAACAUUCAUGCCAUGUUUGGUUUCAUUCAAUUCAGUGGUUCUCUAAAAGAAGUCAUUUGUAUGCAUUUUCCAUAGGGUCCUAUGUUAAACUAAGUCCCCUGCUGGCGGCCAUCUUGGAUGAUGGAUCGGCUACAAAGUAACAACACUUGGUCAGUACCCCAUAGGGAACAUUCAUGCUAUGUUUGGUUUUAUUCCAUUCAGUGGUUCUCUAAAAGAAGUCAUUUGUAUGCAUUUCCCAUAGUGUCCUAUGUUAAACUAAGUCCCCGGCUAGCAGCCAUCUUGGAUGAUGGAUCGACAACAAAGUAACAACACUUGGUCAGUACCUCAUAAGGAACAUUCAUGCCAUGUUUGGUUUCAUUCCAUUCAGUGUUCUCUAAAGAAGUCAUUUGUAUGCAUUUCCCAUAGGGUCCUAUGUUAAACUAAGUCCCCCGCUGGCGGCCAUCUUGGAUGAUGGAUCGGCUACAAAGUAACAAC